rnacentral:lncRNA from 10 species
GUGAUUUCUUAGGACUUUAAUAGUAUAGCUGAUGUUAGGUCAUUAAUGAGGGCAGAUUUAAAAUGGAAGCCUGAGAAUGUGAUUUUAAGUGUAUUUUUUCUCCUCUAUAUAAGAGUUGUAAAAUGGAAAUCUAUCAAUUACCUGCUUAAGAAUCUCUCGUAGCUUCCUUUUGCCUAGCAUAUAAAAUCUGAACUGAAUCUUUUAUUCAAUAACUGACAUCAAUGUUUUCUUCUUUUCUCAUUCUUCUUAAUACUUUUUCAGCUCAAGUCAGACUAUUUUCAAGUCUGGAUUUUUUUUUCAGCCCUACCUUUGUAUUGUCAUCCAUAUUGUCUGUCUGCCUGAACCUCUUUAUUUUUCUAUCAACCCCUAUUUUUCUCCAUCUUAAAGCUCUAAUUCGUAGCCCUGCUCUAGGAGGCCCUCCAUGAUUGAUACUAACUGUGGCUGUUGUUUGGUUCUUGGCUUGGUUGGUUUUUAUUACUCUGGGCCCCCUCUUCUAGCUCUUUUAUUAAUACCUCAGAGAAUAGUUUGCAAAAACUAUGGCAACUUUACUAAUAUUUAGCUUUCAUCAUGGACUUAAUGGCAAAUGAGUGACAAACUUGUCUCCCUUGACAGUAGGCAUGAUUUCUGCUGCCUAUUGAAUUUCAAUGCUAUUGUGUUCUAUUUAAAAUUACUAAAACUCUCAUUUAUCUAUGAAGCCCUUAGCCCCACAGAUCUGCCUCAUGUGCUCAGUUUGUCUGUUUUAUAGUGUCUGUGCUCCUCAGGAGUCUAGAUAUUUUGGCCUGUGAAAACUUUCUCCCCUAGGGGUUUUGAUGACACCAUUUUAUGGUGAGGUGUCUCCUCUGGUAAGUUCUGAAUAUGGUGACACAUACAUUUAUUAAAUUAAUUUUUAAAAUUAGAAAUACAUAAACAUGUUAAAAAUCUCAACUGUUGUAUAGUGAAAUGCAAUCUUCCUUCCUCUUCUUCCUCCAGUCUCCUAGUUUCCCCGUCCAGAAGCAGUUACAGUUGUGUGCCACCUUCUAGAAAAAUUCACUGCAUAUACAAGAGAGGGGGAGAAAGCUAUGGAUUUUACUGGUUCACUUAAUAUAUUUGGAGCUUGUGUCCUAUCACUCAUAUUUUUAAGGACAUAUAGGAUUCCACUUUUUGAAUGUACCUUAAUUUCUUUAACCAGUUCUGUACUGAUGGGCAUUUAUCAUAUUAUCACUUUUCAUUCUUAUAAGCAGUACGUAUACAGUUUUGAAAAUGUAGAUGAUAUCUGUUGCAUAGACUACUAAAAAUAAAGUUGCUCAGCCAAAGGGAAGCACAUUUUAAAUUUUUAUGAAUUUGGGUAAAUUUCCCUUCAAUGAAGUUGCAUCAAUUUCCAUUCCCACCAAGAAUAUGUGACAGCUGUAUCUGGCAAACAUAUGUAUUUCCCUGGAACUUUGAUCUAUUUGAAAGAAGACUAGGAACACAUUUACAGUACUGUUACCAACAUCUUCUUCACUUUUGAUUUUUCUGUAAUUCUCCCUGCCAAAAUUUAACAGAACGCUGUCAUUUUCCUGACUCAUCGUCCUUUUAUUUCCACUUUGUAAAAAUGUCUGUGUUUGGUUUUAUGUUUUUAGGGGUGGCAUAGAAUCUUCCACCAGAACCCUGGAAGUGUAGGUCAGGAUGUUAGAAAUUCUUCUAAUAAAUAGUGUCCAGGAAACACUUCAUUAGAGUAAUUCUCUGGCACAGGGAGUCCUGGGUGGUGGCUCUUGUGACAAGCCCCUUUACCUAUGGUAUGUUGGAAAUUUAACCACAACCUUAGGGCAUGCAAUGAUUGUCUUUCCUUUAGGUGUUUAACUCAUAUAAUGUCUUAAAGAUAAAUGGCACCAGUAAUAUUUUAACAAUGUUCGGGUAUCCUUUGUUUCCAUAGUUACCUGGGUUUCUGUUAGCUUAAGACUUUAGAUGUGUAGCUUCAAACUCUGGGUUCUUCUUCAACUAGGUCAAGAGUUCACACAUUUUUCCACCCACUGGGCAGGCAAACCAAGUUGUAAUUGUUGCUUAUGAAGAGGAUCCUCAAAUGGUACAACACUCAAUUAGGUUAGAUUAAAUUCAGAGCAAUAAAAUAUUUCUGAGUAUGUUCUCAGAGAAACCCACAUCUUAGUUUUCCUUAUCUGAGAUCAUCUUUACCAGUUAAGAGGGCACACUUCAAAUAAUACAAACAUUCUUUAUAAAUUCAUUAUUUCCUAAAUCCCUUCCUAGUUUCAGUUUUGAUGAGCUCUUUUCAUAACUCUAGGUACUUUAGAUAUGCUUCUCUCAGCCUCGAUUUGGCUUUUAGGCUAAAGGGUUUUCCUAAUCACAGCAAGUGGGUCAAAAAUUAGGAUAGGCUUCCCAUGAAAGACUAAGUACAAUAAUUGAACAAAAGGGGUGAAAGUUGAUUAAAGUGAUGCGAGGAGUAAAUGGAUUCACUUUUACAGGAUCUUCUGAAAUCUGAGAUAAAGGACUGACUCCUUGGCUAAUCUCAGUGCAAUUACCUACUCAUGGAGAUCAAUACUUUUUUACUAUUAAAAAAUAGUGAAAAUUUUUAAGAUUGGUUAAGGAAGAGUAAUGUGUUAUUAGGGGAGGCAAGGAAAACUUAGAUCUAAUUUAGAUUUCUAUGAAAACAGUGGGCAUCAAUAGGAGAACAUAAAAAAGAGACGUGAGUAUUAGGAAAAUACCAAAAGGUUUGGUUAGAAACAAAUCCUCUUGUGAUAGGAGAUAAGACUGAAGACCAAACAGAAAUUAUAACUGCAUAGAUCUUGGUUUUAUUCAUUCAUUUGCUCAUUCAGCCUGUUCACUGGCUCCAACAUAGCUCUUGAUUCUAUCCCAUGUGACAUAUUCAUUGACCAACCAUGUGUUUUGGACAGAUCAGCAGCUAGAGAUCCAAAAACGACUGGUUAGAUGGAAUGUCUUAGGAAAUAGUGUCAUCAGUGGUGUACAAAAUGGUAUUAAACUUUCCCUGGAUGAUGGAUUAAAGAGAGAACAAAUUAAAGGCAUAGAUAUAGCCAUCUGCUAAUCAGGGUUUCACAAGGCAUCUGUACCUUAGGCCAUUCCUUUUGGGAUUUCCACUUGCAAAAAAUAUAGUGAAAUAAAACUUAAACUGAAUAGAAGAAAGAAUUUCUUAGACUCAUUCACAUUCAAUCAAUGUUUACUGAGUGCCUAAUAUGUGCCAAAUAUUAUACUAAAAUGCCGAGGAUACAGCAGAGGGACAAAAAUUCCCUGCAUUUGUGGUGCUUACAUUUUACUGAUACAGUUAAUGAAGAUCAUAAAAAUUUUAAACACUGGAGCAGUGAAGUGAGAUUAGGAAUCCCUGUGCCUUUAAAGAUUGAGAGACUAUCAUUUCCUUGGAAAGAAUUAUGUAUUAUCUUGCAUGUAUGUGUGAAGGCAAAUGAGUAAAGGAAAUGCUUCUUCAGCAACCUCUUUCAAUUCUCUAAAGUUAUUUUCAUUACCUAAAUAUUAAAGAGUGAGAAGGACUUGAGGGGAAAAAAAAUAAAGCUUUUUUUUUGUUGUUUUUUUGAGACAGGGUCUCACACUGUCACCAAGGCUGGAGUGCAGUGGUGCAAUCUCAGCUCACUGCAGCCUUGAUGUCCUGGGCUCAAUCAAUCCUCCCUCCUCAGCCUCCAGAGUAGCUGGGACCACAGGCAUGCGCCACCGUGCCUAGUUAAUUAUAAAACUUUUUUUAGAGAUGGAGUUUUGCUGUGUUUCCUAGGCUGGUCUCAAAUUCCUGUGCUCAAGUGAUAUGCCCACCUCAGGCUCCCAAAGUGCUGGGAUGACAGGCGCGAGCCACUGCACCUGGCCAAAAUAAAGCUUGACCUGAGUUGAUAUGAGGGUGAUGAGACUGAGUAAAAAGCCCAUAGGAUUCCAGCCUGUGUUCAUGUAAGUAUUCAGAACAAGAUAAUCUCUGCUACUCUCUACACUACUUUGAUUUAGGAGUGACUGUACUUGGCUUUAACAACCUCACUUAGGAGAGAUAUUGAGAAAGCCAAAUAUGACAACAUGUGGCUAUUCAGCAUAAUGCAGAAUCUGAAAAACACAAUACGUGAAAAUUGAUUCAACAAACUGGAGGAGAUUACGUGUUUGUUCUGAGGCUAUGUAAGCUUGAGUCAUGGUUCUGCUCUUUGCCCUCCGUGCAACCUUGGAAUAUUUUUACUUUAUUUCUUUGUUCUGUUUCCUCACAUAUGAAACAAAGAUAAUAACAUUGCCUACUAUAUCAAUUAGUAUAAUUAUAGCUUCAGGUAAUGGAAAAGCCAGGUAAUUUGGCUCAGUUCACAAAGACGUCACUUGUUUACUUAAUGAGAAAUCUAGAAGUACAUGGCUUAGGGUUAGUCUGGUGGUUCCACAAUGUGAGGAUUCUAGGUUCUCUAUGAUUUUCCCGACUUUACCUCCACUGUUGAAAAUGGCAGUGGUGGCUCCAGAAAUCUCAUUUUCAUAAUUUCAAGUCCAAAAUCUGGAAGAAGUGAGACCAGGUGGGGGUGUAAGACAGAGAGAAAACCCUCCAAACAUGUCUCUCUUCUUUUCAAAGGAAGAAAAAAUGUUUCCAAGAAUCCCUCUAGCAGAUGUUCUUCUAUGCCUUCGUAGCCAAAAUGGAAUUCCAAGGCCACUUCUAGCUAAGAAGAAGCAUUUUAAUGGAGAGACUUUUUGUGAUGCGUGUACAGAGGACAUUAUUAGUGAAAUAACAGCAAACUUGCUAUUAAUGAGAUCUGCUCAAAAUCUCUAUGAGGUAGUGAAUGCCCCAUCAUGAAGAUUUUCAUGCAGAAUUGGGAUGACCUCUGUUCUUCAGGUAGGAACUUGGAUUAGAUAUGUCUAGGAUUUCUUCCAGUUGAAGUUCCUGUGAUUCUACAAUAGGGUAGUCUGAGGAUCAAGAUACAAAUUUCUUCUCUUAUCUUAAAAUGGACUUAAUUUGCGUUUAGAUAAAUUGCAAUGUUCUGGCUAGAUCCAAAUUUCUAAAAUGAGGAAUAUUAAAAGUCUAACCAUUACAACUCUACUGGCCAGUGUGAUUCAUGCAUCAUUUUCAGAGAAGAGAAUAGCUGCUUAGAUACUGAAAGGUACAAAAUGAUAGUAUUUUCUCUUGUUUAGAGGUACAGAAUCCACUUUAUUUUUAGAUCUUGACAUUCUAAAUACUUAUAUCUCUUCAAGAUAAAAAAAGAACAUUGUUUAUUUUAGUCAGUAUCUUUCCCUUUCUCAUUUGUUUAUACAUUCUUAAAAUAACCAUAUAGUUCUCAUUUAUCAAACUUCCCUAUUGCAUGUACAUUCUUUCUUCCUUCGUUAGGAUUUGGUAAGAGUGCUAUGAAUGUGUUAGAAUGGUGUAAAUGAUACUUGCUGUGUAUGAUUUUUUCCCCCUCCCCAAGCCUGCCAGGGGAGCGAGGUGUUAAAUCUCAUGAGAUUCUUUUACCAAGUCCAAGUUUUAAAUAAAUGAAACUUGUACAGACUCCAACAUACCAUCUUGAGAUAACCUCAGGCCCUGAAGUGUAUCGACAAGCAGAAUGAUCUCAGCCAAGUUGUAAAACUGUCUUUGAAAAGAAUAGCUGGAUGAAAAACAUUAGCAGCAACUGAAUCAAGAGAAAACGUGACUUCAAACUGAAAGGCACUCUCAUGGAAGACAACUCUGUUAUCUUUAGGAUUUCAGAUGCUUUUAGAAUCAAACCUGGAAAGGAUACAAAAAGCAGAAGCAAAACCAACAUUUGGGAGAAGAACAGAUUAAGACAGUAGCUUAUAUUGAAACAUCACUUCUCAUUUGCUGUUUGGACAAUGGUGAUGGAACUGCUGCUUUAUUGCCCACGGAGAAGCGAAGUGAAGAGUCUAAAGUGGGUCUUGCAGUUACACUGGACAAAAGAAGUUUGAAACUGAGGCUUGGUCCUGAAGAAAACAUAGAGAAGCCUGACAGAUUAUAUAUAUUCACAGCUUUGACUUAAAGGUUGCUGGUUGACCAAUAAGUAAUACAAGAAGAAAUGGUCUUUUCUGGAAUUGUCCUUCUUUCCAGGUAUCAAUGGUGAGCAGAAGAGGAGCAGGGAAUGAUGAAAGACCACACAUUCUCCAAAAGUCACUAAGCACUGUCUGCAGAUGGAACAUUCAUAUUUUCACAUAGUAUAAGUCAUAUGAUCUUUGAUCCUCCAUGUAUUGCUAUCCAGCCAUUUACUUUAGAAUGUCAGCCUUUAUACUGAUAUCACACACAUGUUGUAAAAUGUAGUGAAGAUAAACGGGUGAAGUUAAACUUACAAUGCUUUUGCUGUUAUCCAUAAAAAUGCAAUAGGUAUUGCAUAGAAUUAGUUACAAGCACAAAACUGUGAUACCCUAUAUGCCCCUGUUACAAGAAAGUUGUCAUUUUACAUUAUGGGUAUUUAUUCGAUAUUUUCAUAGUUUAAUUACUAACAAAGCAUUAAUAAUGCCAGAUUGUGCUGACAAACAUUGCAGUCUCUGAAUAGGAGAAAGAAUAUAUUCUUUGCACCAUUAUACAAUGAUUUAGAACUUUAAUAGUGUGCUGGGGAAAAAACAUGUAUCUGUAACCUGAAAUAGUUGUUUUACCUCCCUGAGUACAAAAUAUGUCACACAUUCUCUCCUAAAUGUAUUCUCUAUUUUUACCAGUCAUUUUGUUGCUAAAAUGUAAGAUAUGGGGAUGGGAUGUGGGUGAUUGUCUCCGUCCUUUUGGGCUUCUAUAACUAAAAUACCUUAGACUGGGUAAUUUAUAAACAACAGGAAUUUAUUUCUCACAGUUCUGGGGGCUGGAAAGUCCAAGAUCAAGGCUGUGGUGGGGUUUGGCUGGCGAGGGCUCCAUCCUUCUUGCUAUAUCUUCACAUGGUGGAAGGAGCAAACAAACUCCCCCAGCCCUCUUUUACAAGGGCACUAAUAUUAUUUGUGAGGGCUCCACUCUCAUGACUUAAUCACCUCCCCAAAGACCCUACUUCUUAAUACUAACACAUUGGGGAUUAAUCUUCAACAUAUGAAUUUUGGAGGAACACAAACAUUCAGACCAUAGCAAUGUUUAUUGGGGUGAAUGCUCAUUUAACUUUUCCCAGAACAAUCCCUGUUAAGUCUGCUAACCUCCUGUAGUUAAUGAUAAAAUUUCCUUCAUUUUCCGAAGUGUUCUUGUUUGGAUUAUAAAUUAUGUAAUUACCCUAAUGACAAUUAACUAGACAUUUUUUUUCUUACUGUAUAGCACCAGUAUGGGCAAUUGCAGUGGCUUUCAAACUUGACUACAACUCAGGGAGAAAUACAUUUUUCAUCAUAACGUAGUACACACACACACACACACACACACACACACACACGCACACACACACACACAUACACUAGAUAAAGCAAAAGCUUUAGGAAAUGGUACUUGGAUAUUUUCAAAUAUAUUUUAGUCUGUUUUUUAAUUAAAAAUCUCUAGUCAUGAUACAUUAAAUUGACUUAUUGACCCACAGCUUGAAAAAACACCAAUAUUUUGGAUGUGUUUUAAGGUCAUAGAACACGCCUUCUGAUUUUUUUCCUUCCCUAGGUAAUCCUAUGCAAGUUGCCAAUCUUCUCUAAACAACACUCUUCUUCAUCUAUAAAGUAAAUAUUAAUACCUACCUGAAGGUGGCAGAGAGAGUUAACUGAGAUAAUUUGGUUAAUGAGCCUGAAAUCUAGUCAACACUUACUAAAGGUAAUUUCUUCUCCUCUCUUCCGCUUCUAAACCAACAGGACACAGCUGAAGUUCACAGGUUUGUAAAAGUGAAAAAAUAUUUUUCUUAACCCCCUGACCUCUAAAGUUUGGUCAGAGUGUUUAGCCACUGAUAAAACAUCUUUAAGCACUGUUACUUCUAUGUUCAACUAAAAGAGUCACUUUUCAGUAAUUUCCGGUCAAGCCCAUCACAAUAGCACUUGCAGCUUCUCAAAAGAAAAGAAAGAAAGAGAGAGAAAGAAAGGAAGAAAGAGAAUUGAAGGAGGAAAGAAGGAAAAAAAUCAUGAUGAAGAUUUUAAAACAUGUCUUAUUGAGGGAUGGGAUGGUGAGGAAGUUGAUUAUAGUGAUGGAUGUGACAGACAGGGCCCGUACUUCUGUUUCUGUUCUCAAACUAACAGUUUUCACACAUAACCGUUUUCACACAUAACACAUUAGUAGAAUUUCUUUUGAAUAUUUGCCUUGGAAAUAAAACAAUAAUAAUAUAGCAUUUAUUAUAUUUAUUAUAUAUAGAGUGUGUGUGUGUGUGUGUCUGUGUGUGUGUGUAUCCCACAUGUCCACAUGAGAAAUAAUGAAAGAAGAUGGAGCCCAAGUAAGAGAGUCCUGAUGCCCCAUAAUGCAGAGAGACAAAGAAGUGAUGAAAUCAAGUACUCUACCUCUGGGCCGCCAGAAUCCAGGCCUGGUUCCAGAGUCCUCUGGUUUUCACCGUGUUGGGGUGGGGCCUCCCCGGGUGCACAGCUUUUCUGCACUGGUUGGCAUCUACUGAACCUUAGGUGAUCACAGCAGUGGUAAAGACAAGCCAGCUUCCGUCUUUCCAUAGUUUGUUCCCCUGUACUUCAGGAGGGAGGGGAGCCCCUCUAUGGAAUGCAAUACACACUAGGCAUCCUAUCACUAUGUAAGAACUCAUCUUGCUCCCUCAUUUCACAUUACAUCUUUGACUGUCUUGCUCAGUUGUUUCACCUUGGCUAGUUUUUACUCUUUGGCGAGUACUCUCACAACUCUCUUGUAGGCAGGAGCCCAUUUUCUUUUUCUGAGUACUCUGGACUCCUUGCAUGGUGCUUCCUGGGCAAGGGGUGCUCAACAAAUUGUGCUGAUAAUUAAGUCAUUCACUCAAAAUAUAUUUAUUAAGCACCUAGUGACCAAGACAGAAAAAAGUUACUAUUGACCUUCAAAUCACCAAAUCUAAUGAUCAUUCCUUACUGCUCAUCUUCCUCCACCAUUGCUACCUUAGAGGCCUCCCGUGCCUGCCUCCAUUUCCCAGACUUACUGCUUGAUUCUCCCUGGCAAGCUUUCCCUUCACCAUUUUUUUUUCAGCACUUGUAAGGAACUGAAUCUGUCCCCAAUAGUACACAGUUUGAGUUAGAGCCAGGACUAGAACUCAGGCCUGCAUAUAAUCAAAGAUCAGAAAACGGCCAAAUCUUGGUGUUUCUAUUCACAGGGAGGAAACCCAGAUGGGCCUACUCACAAUACAUGCUUCCAAAUGAAAGAACGUUUUUCCCCCUAAGGACAUUGUUAGGACACUGUCUAGCUAGAAGAUAUUCAGAGAAAAUUCACUCCUUUACCUGCCCUAGGGAAAUGGGAAAAUUCAAUGUUUGAGCCAUUUACCCAAAAGAGUAAUCCAUGCUGGAAAUUUUGCUGAAAGUAUUCUUUUAAAAGGCCCUUCUGUCUUUAUUAUGACGAUAAGACUGCUGAGUCUGCCCAAGCAUAUGAGGUUGCAAAGAAUAUUUCUUUUUAUUCAGACCUUGUAUUCUCUACAUGAUGAAAGGAUUCUUGGCACAUAGUUGGCAAUUACUAUCUAGGUUUUCUGCAUAACAUAGGUUUUUUAAACUAAGCUUUUAACUCAAUAGACAUCAGGCUCCAAUGAAAAUACAUGUGGCCUAACACGAGCAGAAAUAAACACAAUUCUAAUCAACUUAACUGUUGACAAAAGCAUGUGGUUUCAUUGCUUGCGGCCAAAGUUGUAAGAGUGGACUCUGAUUUCUUGCAGGAACACCCCUCAUUUAUGUGUGCAAAUAGGGUAAUUAAGUGUCCAAUUACCAGAUUUGCAUUGGCAAAUGGGGGCUUUGUGUGGGUAAAAUUCUCCAUGGUUUGGGACCAGCUGAAACUUAGGUCUUUUCUUUUUGGAUCAAUCCCCCAACAAUAACACGGGCAUGAUGAAGUUCCCUUCUUGUCCUGAUCUGAAGCCAUGGCUGAAGACUUCCCUUAUUUUGGUAAUUCAGUGAAGCGGAGAGCCAAAGUUAGGAUCUGGGGCCUUUUCUUCCUUACUGUCUACUCUGAAAAAUAAUUAAGCAUUUCAAGUAUUUUCAGACUGACUUUUUUUUUUUCCUGCUGGCUCUGUAGAAUUGAUUACUAAGGUGAAAUACUUGUAAAUAUUCCUUUUAAAAAUUUAACCAUAUGGAAGCAUUAAGUUGAAAGACACUUCAUAAAACAACUUUAUUCUUUUCU